CCUACGGGAGGCAGCAGUAGGGAAUCUUCCACAAUGGACGAAAGUCUGAUGGAGCAACGCCGCGUGAGUGAAGCAGGGUUUCGGCUCGUAAAGCUCUGUUGGUAGUGAAGAAAGAUAGAGGUAGUAACUGGCCUUUAUUUGACGGUAAUUACUUAGAAAGUCACGGCUAACUACGUGCCAGCAGCCGCGGUAAUACGUAGGUGGCAAGCGUUGUCAGGAUUUAUCGGGCGUAAAGCGAGUGCAGGCGGUUCAAUAAGUCUGAUGUGAACGCAUUCGGCUCAACCGGAGAAUUGCAUCAGAAACUGUUGAACGUGAGUGCAGAAGAGGAGAGUGGAACUCCAUGUGUAGCGGUGGAAUGCGUAGAUAUAUGGAAGAACACCAGUGGCGAAGGCGGCUCUCUGGUCUGCAACUGACGCUGAGGCUCGAAAGCAUGGGUAGCGAACAGGAUUAGAUACCCGUGUAGUC
rnacentral:rRNA from 1 species